rnacentral:rRNA from 1 species
CAUGCAAGUCGAGCGAACUGAUUAGAAGCUUGCUUCUAUGACGUUAGCGGCGGACGGGUGAGUAACACGUGGGCAACCUGCCUGUAAGACUGGGAUAACUCCGGGAAACCGGAGCUAAUACCGGAUAACAUUUUCUCUUGCAUAAGAGAAAAUUGAAAGAUGGUUUCGGCUAUCACUUACAGAUGGGCCCGCGGUGCAUUAGCUAGUUGGUGAGGUAACGGCUCACCAAGGCAACGAUGCAUAGCCGACCUGAGAGGGUGAUCGGCCACACUGGGACUGAGACACGGCCCAGACUCCUACGGGAGGCAGCAGUAGGGAAUCUUCCGCAAUGGACGAAAGUCUGACGGAGCAACGCCGCGUGAGUGAUGAAGGCUUUCGGGUCGUAAAACUCUGUUGUUAGGGAAGAACAAGUACAAGAGUAACUGCUUGUACCUUGACGGUACCUAACCAGAAAGCCACGGCUAACUACGUGCCAGCAGCCGCGGUAAUACGUAGGUGGCAAGCGUUAUCCGGAAUUAUUGGGCGUAAAGCGCGCGCAGGCGGUUUCUUAAGUCUGAUGUGAAAGCCCACGGCUCAACCGUGGAGGGUCAUUGGAAACUGGGGAACUUGAGUGCAGAAGAGAAAAGCGGAAUUCCACGUGUAGCGGUGAAAUGCGUAGAGAUGUGGAGGAACACCAGUGGCGAAGGCGGCUUUUUGGUCUUUAACUGACGCUGAGGCGCGAAAGCGUGGGGAGCAAACAGGAUUAGAUACCCUGUUAGUCCACGCCGUAAACGAUG